rnacentral:rRNA from 1 species
UCUACCCUUGGUCAGGUUGAAGUUCAGGUAACACUGAAUGGAGGACCGAACCGACUUACGUUGAAAAGUGAGCGGAUGAACUGAGGGUAGCGGAGAAAUUCCAAUCGAACCUGGAGAUAGCUGGUUCUCUCCGAAAUAGCUUUAGGGCUAGCCUCAAGUGAUGAUUAUUGGAGGUAGAGCACUGUUUGGACGAGGGGCCCCUCUCGGGUUACCGAAUUCAGACAAACUCCGAAUGCCAAUUAAUUUAACUUGGGAGUCAGAACAUGGGUGAUAAGGUCCGUGUUCGAAAGGGAAACAGCCCAGACCACCAGCUAAGGUCCCAAAAUAUAUGUUAAGUGGAAAAGGAUGUGGCGUUGCCCAGACAACU